GACGGUACCUAAGGAAUCAGCAUCGGCUAACUCCGUGCCAGCAGCCGCGGUAAUACGGAGGAUGCAAGCGUUAUCCGGAAUCAUUGGGCGUAAAGCGUCCGCAGGCGGCCUGAUAAGUCUGUUGUCAAAGCGUGGAGCUCAACUCCAUUUCGGCAAUGGAAACUGUGAGGCUUGAGUGUGGUAGGGGCAGAGGGAAUUCCCGGUGUAGCGGUGAAAUGCGUAGAUAUCGGGAAGAACACCAGUGGCGAAGGCGCUCUGCUGGGCCAUAACUGACGCUCAUGGACGAAAGCCAGGGGAGCGAAAGGGAUUAGAUACCCCUGUAGUCCUGGCCGUAAACGAUGAACACUAGGUGUCGGGGGUAUCGACCCCCUCGGUGUCGCAGCCAACGCGUUAAAUGUUCCGCCUGGGGAGUACGCACGCAAGUGUGAAACUCAAAGGAAUUGACGGGGGCCCGCACAAGCGGUGGAGUAUGUGGUUUAAUUCGAUGCAACGCGAAGAACCUUACCAGGGCUUGACAUCCUGCGAAUCCCUUGGAAACUUGGGAGUACCUUCGGGAGCGCAGUGACAGGUGGUGCAUGGCUGUCGUCAGCUCGUGUCGUGAGAUGUUGGGUUAAGUCCCGCAACGAGCGCAACCCACGUCUUUAGUUGCCAGCAUUCAGUUGGGCACUCUAGAGAGACCGCCGGUGAUAAACCGGAGGAAGGUGUGGAUGACGUCAAGUCAUCAUGCCCCUUACAUCCUGGGCUACACACGUACUACAAUGCUACGGACAAAGGGCAGCAAACUCGCGAGAGCUAGCAAAUCCCAUAAACCGUGGCUCAGUUCAGAUCGUAGGCUACAACUCGCCUACGUGAAGGAGGAAUCGCUAGUAAUCGCAGGUCAGCAUACUGCGGUGAAUACGUUCCCGGGCCUUGUACACACCGCCCGUCACACCAUGGAAGUUGGCCACGCCCGAAGCCGUUACUCCAACCCUUGUGGAGGAGGACGU
rnacentral:rRNA from 1 species